AUUGAACGCUGGCGGCAUGCCUUACACAUGCAAGUCGAACGGCAGCACGGGUGCUUGCACCUGGUGGCGAGUGGCGAACGGGUGAGUAAUACAUCGGAACGUACCUUAUCGUGGGGGAUAACGCAGCGAAAGCUGUGCUAAUACCGCAUACGCCCUGAGGGGGAAAGCGGGGGAUCGCAAGACCUCGCGCGAUUAGAGCGGCCGAUGCCUGAUUAGCUUGGUGGUGGGGUAAAAGCCCACCAAGGCGACGAUCAGUAGCUGGUCUGAGAGGACGAUCAGCCAGACUGGCACUGAGACACGGACCAGACUCCUACGGGAGGCAGCAGUGGGGAAUUUUGGACAAGGGGGUCAACCCUGAUCCAGCAAUGCCGCGUGAGUGAAGAAGUCCUUCGGGUUGUAAAGCUCUUUUGUCAGGGAAGAAACACCGGCUCUAACACAGUCCGGGAAUGACGGUACCUGAAGAAUAAGCACCGGCUAACUACGUGCCAGCCGCCGCGGUAA
rnacentral:rRNA from 1 species